UUACAUCCUGAUGAUGAAUAAAUGUUAAAGGAAGGUGUCAUACAAAUAAAUAUUCUACGAGCAGUCUUUUGUCAAUAUCGUAACGACGAAAUUGAAUUAAAUCACAUGGUUGUCUUCUGUUACAUCCUAUUUGAUUAGAGUCACGUGGAUUCAGAGCACCAAGAAGAUGUCUCAGUUCAAAAAUGAAAAUUAAAUGCCAAAAUGUGACGAAAUGACAGUGCUGCUCAAUAAGAUGGUGAAAUAACAGAAAUGGUGGCAAGGACCACUUCCUUGCUUUACGACUGUUGGUUCAGAGUGAUCUGGGAUGGGGGUUUUAGACUGUGAAAUAAAUAAUCAAGGAAAUACCAACCAAAGCGUGCACUAAUUCACAAUCUUAACUUGGUGGCAUAAAAAAUUAAAGCGAAAGAACA